AAAAUUAGAGUGUUCAAAGCAGGCAGAUCCAAUUUUCUGCCACCGAAUACAUUAGCAUGGGAUAAUGGAAUAGGACCCUGUCCUCCUAUUUUCAGUUGGUUUUGGCAGCGCGAGGACUAGGGUAAUGAUUAAUAGGGAUAGUUGGGGGCAUUAAUAUUUAAUUGUCAGAGGUGAAAUUCUUGGAUUUAUGAAAGAUUAACUUCUGCGAAAGCAUCUGCCAAGGAUGUUUUCAUUAAUCAAGAACGAAAGUUAGGGGAUCGAAGACGAUCAGAUACCGUCGUAGUCUUAACCAUAAACGAUGCCGACCAGCGAUUAGGAGACGUUGAAUACAAAACACCACCAUCGGCGCGGUCGUCCCUGGCGCGUCGCCUCACGGCGGCGCGCGGGGGCGGUUUAGCCCGGUGGCACCGGUGAA
rnacentral:rRNA from 1 species